UAAACCCAGCCUAAUUAUAUCUCCGAAUGAGCCCAAGUUCAUGUCAAGACUAAAUAUAAACCCAACCUAAUUAUUUAUUCUAGAUUGAUCCAAGCUGAACCCAAUCUUUAAUUCCAAUCCAAUCCAAAUUUGACAAGCCAUACAUGAAACCUAUACCAUAAUAACCAAAUCAAAGUCCAAACCUAACCUCAAUCAUGCACAACCUAAUCCAACCUCUUCUCUAUACCAAGUCUUUGAAAACAAACUAUUUCAACCCGAUUCUCUAGCAUAUAAAACUAGAGCCAAACCACAACCAUAUUCAAACUCGAUCAAAUUCUAAACAUAUGCUUAGAAUUGAUCAAAUCNAAGAGUAAACCACCUAGGCAAAGAACCGCUCCCCGCUAACUAGCUAUGCGAUCCCCUUGCCGCGAUCCCGUGCCUCCGCCGGUGC
rnacentral:lncRNA from 1 species